rnacentral:lncRNA from 1 species
ACAUGAGGCUGCAACAAAAUCGAAGGUUCAUCAAAUGAAGAUCCGCUCGAAGUGCUAGCUUCUUGCAGAUCCCUACGGAUGAUUAAUCUAAAAAAAAUAUUCUUCGGAUCUCUUGGAUAUUCCAUGAGAUGAAGAAUAUGAGGAGGAAUGAGGGAGAAGUCAAACCUUUUGACCUCUCUAAAAUUAGAAAUAAAAUAUAAUAGAAAAGAUCCUAAGAGAAG